rnacentral:rRNA from 1 species
UACGUAUGGCGCAAGCGUUGUCCGGAAUUAUUGGGCGUAAAGGGCUCGUAGGCGGUUUGUCGCGUCGGGAGUGAAAUCCACUGGCUUAACUGGUGGCUUGCUUUCGAUACGGGCAGACUGGAGGUAUGCAGGGGAGAACGGAAUUCCUGGUGUAGCGGUGAAAUGCGCAGAUAUCAGGAGGAACACCGGUGGCGAAGGCGGUUCUCUGGGCAUGUCCUGACGCUGAGGAGCGAAAGUGUGGGGAGCGAACAGG